rnacentral:ncRNA from 1 species
GGCUUUUCAGCGGCUUCACCAACAGGGUGUUAUUCUUCAGCGUCACUUCGCCACUGGCGUGCGUAAUGUGGUUCUCUUCCAAUGGAAUAUCUAGGUGUAAGCGCCCACUAACCUUACCCCCCACCUGUAACUCCUCCAGUGUUUCAGCGACCGAAUCAUUGAGCGGCGUCUUGGUAAAGUAGUCGUGAACAUCGCGCCCUUCGCCAGCCACCUCGGCAUCGACAUAGAGCUUUUCUUUCAGAUAAUCGGGAAUGAUGGCGCUGAUAUUGCUGCCAGUGACCUUACCUAACAUCGCAUGGGGGGCGUCCAUCCACAGACCUUCAUUGAGGAAAUUCAGGUCGAUGGCUAAAUUCUCUAAUGCAGGCCAAUCCGGUUGGAACUCGAAGGUGGCGUUACGCAGCGGCA